UGGGGAAUUUUGGACAAUGGGCGAAAGCCUGAUCCAGCAAUGCCGCGUGUGUGAAGAAGGCCUUCGGGUUGUAAAGCACUUUUGUCCGGAAAGAAAUCCUUGGCUCUAAUACAGUCGGGGGAUGACGGUACCGGAAGAAUAAGCACCGGCUAACUACGUGCCAGCAGCCGCGGUAAUACGUAGGGUGCAAGCGUUAAUCGGAAUUACUGGGCGUAAGGCGUGCGCAGGCGGUUUGCUAAGACCGAUGUGAAAUCCCCGGGCUCAACCUGGGAACUGCAUUGGUGACUGGCAGGCUAGAGUAUGGCAGAGGGGGGUAGAAUUCCACGUGUAGCAGUGAAAUGCGUAGAGAUGUGGAGGAAUACCGAUGGCGAAGGCAGCCCCCUGGGCCAAUACUGACGCUCAUGCACGAAAGCGUGGGGAGCAAACAGGAUUAGAUACCCUGGUAGUCCACGCCCUAAACGAUGUCAACUAGUUGUUGGGGAUUCAUUCCUUAGUAACGUAGCUAACGCGUGAAGUUGACCGCCUGGGGAGUACGGUCGCAAGAUUAAAACUCAAAUGAAUUGACGGGGUCAUAGCUGUUUCCU
rnacentral:rRNA from 1 species